GACGAACGCAGGCGGCGUGCUUAACACAUGCAAGUCGAGCGGAAAGGCCCUUUCGGGGGUACUCGAGCGGCGAACGGGUGAGUAACACGUGAGUAAUCUGCCCUUGGCUUUGGGAUAACCGCCGGAAACGGUGGCUAAUACCGGAUCCGACCACUCCCCGCAGCGGGUGGUGGUGGAAAGUUUUUUCGUCCAGGGAUGUGCUCGCGGCCUAUCAGCUUGUUGGUGGGGUAAUGGCCGAACAAGGCUUCGACGGGUAGCCGGCCUGAGAGGGGGACCGGCCACACUGGGACUGAGACACGGCCCAGACUCCUACGGGAGGCAGCAGUGGGGAAUAUUGGACAAUGGGCGGAAGCCUGAUCCAGCAACGCCGCGUGAGGGAUGACGGCCUUCGGGUUGUAAACCUCUUUCAGUACCGACGAAGCGCCGAUGAUGGCGGUGACGGUAGGUACAGAAGAAGCACCGGCCAACUACGUGCCAGCCGCCGCAGUAA
rnacentral:rRNA from 1 species